UGCCCAGCAACUCCUAUCCCUACCUCCUCGCGGUACUGGCGCGGGGUACGAGUAAUCUUAGGGAAGAUCGGGUAACCAACCCCCGGUGGGAACUUUGGUCGUAUGCUGACAGGGAAAG
rnacentral:ribozyme from 1 species